AGGACACCCCCGAGGCUUCUUGGUAAGAACCAAGUUUAUGCUGUAUGAAGAAUUAACGAGAGUGGAUAUGGAUAUUCAGACUUUCAAGAAACUCUUCUUGUUAUACGAGUGAUUUACAAACAUUCGCAGUAACGAACUCUUACGAGUAACUGCCCACUUGUUGAACAGUCAUCGGCUAGUACGCGUAUGCAGGCAGGGGGAGGUGGAGAAUAAUCCCAGAGAGGAUGGACUACAUGGAUAACCUAAAAAACGUGUGUAGGAGAACUGAUAUACUCGACAAGACGCAAAGUCUACUGGAGUGUUGAGCCUAUUAAUCGAUUAACUAUCAUUCGCAAGCUUAGGCUGAAGGCACCGAAGUGAGUGGUACGUUCAGGGUGAAGAAGACUAAGUGAACUGUUGAUUGGGGCACCAUCAGCCUUACUACGUCCCUGUCCAGUUCUCCUAAGGUAUCCCGCCUUGGUGACUUGCGUCAGAAUAAUCUAGCAACUAGAAAAAUGUGUGGAGUAACCACGUAUGACUUGUGCACAGUGUGUACGAGGGUCCGUGUAAGAAGGGGGUGUGUCGCCUGCACUUCCACGCAUGAUUCAAUUCAAAGCGUAGCAUGAGAAGAGAAGGAUGAUACUGGGUCAGAGAUAAGGAUUCGAACAGGACACAGUGGCUAAGACGUAGGAUAGCCAGAAAGAACGCAGUAUGGGCGUGGCUUGAUUAGGUUUGAGGGUACGAACUAGAGGAUCGAAGAGCAUU